CGUGAAUACUAUACACCUCUCCCUUUGUGAAAGUUAGCGCACGGCUCAGCAAUGAGCCAUUCCCCUAGGCCCGGAGCUUUUUAAGUUCUGGGCAUUUUUUA
rnacentral:sRNA from 1 species